rnacentral:rRNA from 1 species
AUGCAGACAGAAGUCGGUCUACUUGUCAUGGACAUGAUGCCUAUAUUCAUGAUCAUUGCCUUAGCUAUCUUCAUAACUUUGCACUUUUCUGUCAAUUUCUCAACAGUAAUUUGUUUACCCACCAUAUGCGUUCUUUCAAGAGAGAAGCCUCUAGUGAAAACUAUGGCCCCGGGUCUAUUUCUCGUCAUAUAUUUUCAGAUCUAUAAAACCAAAAACACAAAAAUACCUUGCUACAAUUUAUUUACCUUUACUUUAUUUUACACUUUUAUUUAUCUUGUAUACCUAUCUCUAACAGAUCUCAUCCUUGCAAGUAAUCAUGAAGGGAUUGACAACCCCUUUUUCGCGUUGGGUGCAAGUAUUUGUUUGUUUGUGUAG